rnacentral:rRNA from 1 species
CAGCAGCCACGGUAAUACAGAGGGUGCGAGCGUUAAUCGGAUUUACUGGGCGUAAAGCGUGCGUAGGCGGCUUUUUAAGUCGGAUGUGAAAUCCCUGAGCUUAACUUAGGAAUUGCAUUCGAUACUGGGAAGCUAGAGUAUGGGAGAGGAUGGUAGAAUUCCAGGUGUAGCGGUGAAAUGCGUAGAGAUCUGGAGGAAUACCGAUGGCGAAGGCAGCCAUCUGGCCUAAUACUGACGCUGAUGUACGAAAGCAUGGGGAGCAAACAGGAUUAGAUACCCCUGUAGUCCCUGUCUCUUAUAC